rnacentral:lncRNA from 1 species
CGGGGAACUCGCCCAGCAGCCUGUGUUUCUCGAGUGUGGGCAGCCGGCUCCCGGGCGUCCCUCCCACCGGCUGCGGGGGCCCGGGACUGGGCGGUAGUGGAGGCAGGUCCUUGGACUGCAGGCUGAGGCUUUUUCCCCCCACGAGCGGUUUGGGCCCUCCAGGAGCCCCUGCGCGGGGGUCACGUGGAUUACGCUAGCGGUUCCCCUGGCGCCUCGACCCUCCUUUGAAGAGUCAUUCUAGAAGGCUGUAUUGCGAUAGUGUUUGUACCUGUCACUGUGAGCCCUGAAAAGAGACAGAAGAAAACGCGAGUGCCUGGCCUGAGGGUGCUCCGUCCCGUGGGUAGCCAGGGCACUCCACUUCAGCAUUCUCCUGUGGUGUAACAUUACCUGCCACUCAUGCUGGUUCCCAUGCGCCAAGCUAAUUUCAACAACGGGUGAAGUGGGUAUCUCCAUGUGAUGGCUGAGGAGACAGAUUCUGGGUGUUGCUACUAAGCCUCAUGGAGGCAGCCAUGACAGAGCAGAGCCUUCUGUCCUCCUGUUCCAGGUCAGCAGCCUCUCCCAAGGCAGGACUCCAUGGGCCAGCCUCUUUCCUCCCCCACCCUGCUUCUUCAGGCCAGCUCUUAUUUGGUCUGACAAUAAGUCUGAGGUAAGCUGUUACUGGCUGACGGUGUUUGGUGCCUUUCCCAAGAAUGGGUACAUUUUAACCUGGGCAUCCUCUUGAUACCACCUUAAUCAAGGUUCCAGUGGUGGGUCUUUUAUAGAGGGUGUGGUUGGGAGAUGAGAUUCCUUUGUGAAGAAGAUAUUUUAGUGGCCUCUAGGUCCCACUAGGCAGCUUGUGCUUGCACGACAAUUCCUUAAACAAGCAUUUCAUGGCCUGAGCAGGGCUCAGAAAUCCUCAAGAAUUCAGAAUGUCAGCAAAAGUCCAAAUCUGUGUUUCAUAACACCAAAAUUAUUUACAUGGACUCAGAAAUUUUCCUUACAUUGUUAACCUGGACUGGUCCUCCCAUCCUAACACACACCCACACACAGACUUACUUAGCUCCGCAUCUAAGUGGUUUGUAGUGGCACAUGUUUAGAUUUUGUACCCCAAAGCUCAAAAAGUAUUUUUUAUCAUGAAUUUAACUGAAAAAUACACAUAUUUCCAUUCCAGAGAGGACUCCUCUUGUUGGGGGCUAACUUCAACACCAG